AGUAGCUCAGUGGUAGAGCGUUCGGCUGUUAACCGAAUGGUCGUUGGUUCAAGUCCAACCU
rnacentral:tRNA from 1 species